CGGUAUUUGUCCUUCGGGACAGAGAGAGCGGCGUACGGGUGCGGAACACGUGUGCAACCUACCUUUAUCAGGGGGAUAGCCUUUCGAAAGGAAGAUUAAUACCCCAUAAUAUAAUUCAAGGCAUCUUGAUUUAUUGAAAACUCCGGUGGAUAGAGAUGGGCACGCGCAAGAUUAGAUAGUUGGUAGGGUAACGGCCUACCAAGUCAAUGAUCUUUAGGGGGCCUGAGAGGGUGAUCCCCCACACUGGUACUGAGACACGGACCAGACUCCUACGGGAGGCAGCAGUGAGGAAUAUUGGACAAUGGGUGAGAGCCUGAUCCAGCCAUCCCGCGUGAAGGACGACGGCCCUAUGGGUUGUAAACUUCUUUUGUAUAGGGAUAAACCUACUCUCGUGAGAGUAGCUGAAGGUACUAUACGAAUAAGCACCGGCUAACUCCGUGCCAGCAGCCGCGGUAAUACGGAGGGUGCAAGCGUUAUCCGGAUUUAUUGGGUUUAAAGGGUCCGUAGGCGGGCUUGUAAGUCAGUGGUGAAAUCUCAUAGCUUAACUAUGAAACUGCCAUUGAUACUGCAGGUCUUGAGUAAAGUAGAAGUGGCUGGAAUAAGUAGUGUAGCGGUGAAAUGCAUAGAUAUUACUUAGAACACCAAUUGCGAAGGCAGGUCACUAUGUUUUAACUGACGCUGAUGGACGAAAGCGUGGGGAGCGAACAGGAUUAGAUACCCUGGUAGUCCACGCCGUAAACGAUGCUAACUCGUUUUUGGGCUUUCGGGUUCAGAGACUAAGCGAAAGUGAUAAGUUAGCCACCUGGGGAGUACGUUCGCAAGAAUGAAACUCAAAGGAAUUGACGGGGGCCCGCACAAGCGGUGGAUUAUGUGGUUUAAUUCGAUGAUACGCGAGGAACCUUACCAAGGCUUAAAUGGGAAUUGACAGGUUUAGAAAUAGACUUUUCUUCGGACAAUUUUCAAGGUGCUGCAUGGUUGUCGUCAGCUCGUGCCGUGAGGUGUUAGGUUAAGUCCUGCAACGAGCGCAACCCCUGUCACUAGUUGCCAUCAUUCAGUUGGGGACUCUAGUGAGACUGCCUACGCAAGUAGAGAGGAAGGUGGGGAUGACGUCAAAUCAUCACGGCCCUUACGCCUUGGGCCACACACGUAAUACAAUGGCCGGUACAGAGGGCAGCUACCAGGCGAUAGGAUGCGAAUCUCGAAAGCCGGUCUCAGUUCGGAUUGGAGUCUGCAACUCGACUCUAUGAAGCUGGAAUCGCUAGUAAUCGCAUAUCAGCCAUGAUGCGGUGAAUACGUUCCCGGGCCUUGUACACACCGCCCGUCAAGCCAUGGAAGUUUGGGGUACCUGAAGUCGGUGACC
rnacentral:rRNA from 1 species